rnacentral:rRNA from 1 species
GAUGAACGCUGGCGGCGUGCCUAAUACAUGCAAGUCGAGCGGACAGACGAGGAGCUUGCUCCUCUGACGUUAGCGGCGGACGGGUGAGUAACACGUGGAUAACCUACCUAUAAGACUGGGAUAACUUCGGGAAACCGGAGCUAAUACCGGAUAAUAUAUUGAACCGCAUGGUUCAAUAGUGAAAGACGGUUUUGCUGUCACUUAUAGAUGGAUCCGCGCCGCAUUAUCUAGUUGGUAAGGUAACGGCUUACCAAGGCAACGAUGCGUAGCCGACCUGAGAGGGUGAUCGGCCACACUGGAACUGAGACACGGUCCAGACUCCUACGGGAGGCAGCAGUAGGGAAUCUUCCGCAAUGGGCGAAAGCCUGACGGAGCAACGCCGCGUGAGUGAUGAAGGUCUUCGGAUCGUAAAACUCUGUUAUUAGGGAAGAACAAAUGUGUAAGUAACGAUGCACGUCUUGACGGUACCUAAUCAGAAAGCCACGGCUAACUACGUG